AACAGGCUUUCUACCCUGGAUGCUGCUCCCAUGCCCUGACACGAGGCCCACUACAAUGACUUGUACAGAAGGGCUAUGCUGUUAUUACUCUUAGACAAGGAGGCAGCCCUCUAGCCACAGGGUCCAGCUGUUGGCUAUAAUAGCCUACAGGUCUCUGAUGAUAACCAUGUUUCUGGAAUUCAAGCCAGGAAGAAGCAGCAAUCUGUCUUCUGGAUUAAAACUGAAGAUCAACCUACUUUCAACUUACUAAGAAAGGGGAUCAUGGACAUUGAAGCAUAUCUUGAAAGAAUUGGCUAUAAAAAGUCUAGGAACAAAUUGGACUUGGAAACAUUAACUGACAUUCUUCAACACCAGAUCCGAGCUGUUCCCUUUGAGAACCUUAACAUCCAUUGUGGGGAAGCCAUGGAUUUAGGCUUAGAGGCCAUUUUUGAUCAAGUUGUGAGAAGAAAUCGGGGUGGAUGGUGUCUCCAGGUCAAUCAUCUUCUGUACUGGGCUCUGACCACUAUUGGUUUUGAGACCACAAUGUUGGGAGGUUAUG
rnacentral:sRNA from 1 species